rnacentral:rRNA from 1 species
UAGGGAAUAUUGCAAAUGGGCGAAAGCCUGAUGUAGCAACGCCGCGUGUGCGAUGAAGGUCUUCGGAUUGUAAAGCACUUUUUGGAGGGAUGAGGAAGGACAGUACCUCCAGAAUAAGCCUCGGCUAACUACGUGCCAGCAGCCGCGGUAACACGUAGGAGGCAAGCGUUAUUCGGAUUUACUGGGCGUAAAGCGCGUGCAGGCGGUUUGGAAAGUUGGAUGUGAAAGCUCCUGGCUCAACUGGGAGAGGUCGUUCAAAACUUCCAGA